UAUGUUUUAAGAAUGUUUUUGCAGGAAUAAUUCAAGACUUCAAGACUCUAUGUCUAAGUCAUAGAGUUUGUAUUAAGGUUGGAAAAGUGUAAAUUUCGUUUAUUGGAUUGAUCAUGCAGGAGAUUAUCGUUUGGUGAUUGCGAUGAUCUUCUUUUUAUUAUUUAUUAGUUGUGUACGAACUUUGUAAUAUAUUUUGUCACGAAAUCGCCAAAGGGGGAGAUUGUUAAGGAUUUUAUAGGUUGGCGGAUUUCGUAAUGUUGAAUGGAGUCUUGAAGAGUUGAUUGCAGAAGAUUGAAGAAAAG
rnacentral:lncRNA from 1 species